rnacentral:rRNA from 1 species
AGGACGAACGCUGGCGGCGCGCUUAACACAUGCAAGUCGAGCGAGAACCGGGGCUUCGGCCCCGGGGACAGCGGCGAACGGGUGAGUAACACGUGGAUAACCUGCCCUCGGCACCGGGAUAGCCCGGGGAAACCCGGAUUAAUACCGGAUGGCCCUUCCGACUUUCGAGUCGGUUGGCAAAGGUAGCUUCGGCCUCCGGCCGAGGAUGGGUCCGCGGCGGAUUAGCUUGUUGGUGGGGUAAUGGCCUACCAAGGCUUCGAUCCGUAGCUGGUCUGAGAGGACGAUCAGCCACACUGGGACUGAGACACGGCCCAGACUCCUACGGGAGGCAGCAGGUGGGGAAUCGUUGCGACAAGUGGGACGAAAGCCGUGACGCAGCGACGCCGGCGUAGGAGGGACGGACGGCCGUUCGGUUACGUAAACCUUCGUUUACUAGGAGGGACGAAGACUACGUACGGUUAAGUACGACCGAGAGGUCGGAACGGUACC